rnacentral:rRNA from 1 species
AGUGAACGUUGGCGGCGUGGAUUAGGCAUGCAAGUCGAGCGAGAACCGUAGCAAUACGGGGACAGCGGCGAAAGGGACAGUAAUGUGUAGGUACCUACCCCGAGGUCUGGGAUAGCUGCGGGAAACUGCAGGUAAUACCGGAUAAUGUCUUCGGACCAAAGGUGUGAUUCCACCUUGGGAGGGGCCUGCAUCCUAUUAGCUUGUUGGCGGGGUAAUGGCCCACCAAGGCGACGAUGGGUAGCGGGUGUGGGAGCACGACCCGCGUCAUUGGGGCUGAGAUACUGCCCAGACGCCUACGGGUGGCUGCAGUCGAGGAUCUUCGGCAAUGGGCGAAAGCCUGACCGAGCGACGCCGCGUGCGGGAUGAAGGCCUUCGGGUUGUAAACCGCUGUCGUGGAGGAGGAAAUGCAGGGGGGUUCUCCCUCCUGUUUGACCUAUUCUAGGAGGAAGGACGGGCUAAGUUUGUGCCAGCAGCCGCAGUAA